GACGAACGCUGGCGGCGUGCCUAAUACAUGCAAGUUGAGCGCUGAAGGUUGGUACUUGUACCGACUGGAUGAGCAGCGAACGGGUGAGUAACGCGUGGGGAAUCUGCCUUUGAGCGGGGGACAACAUUUGGAAACGAAUGCUAAUACCGCAUAAAAACUUUAAACACAAGUUUUAAGUUUGAAAGAUGCAAUUGCAUCACUCAAAGAUGAUCCCGCGUUGUAUUAGCUAGUUGGUGAGGUAAAGGCUCACCAAGGCGAUGAUACAUAGCCGACCUGAGAGGGUGAUCGGCCACAUUGGGACUGAGACACGGCCCAAACUCCUACGGGAGGCAGCAGUAGGGAAUCUUCGGCAAUGGACGAAAGUCUGACCGAGCAACGCCGCGUGAGUGAAGAAGGUUUUCGGAUCGUAAAACUCUGUUGGUAGAGAAGAACGUUGGUGAGAGUGGAAAGCUCAUCAAGUAACGGUAACUACCCAGAAAGGGACGGCUAACUACGUG
rnacentral:rRNA from 1 species